rnacentral:rRNA from 1 species
GUGUGUGUUAGUGGAAGCGUCUGGAAAGGCGUGCGAUACAGGGUGACAGCCCCGUACACAAAAAUGCACAUACUGUGAGCUCGAUGAGUAGGGCGGGACACGUGGUAUCCUGUCUGAAUAUGGGGGGACCAUCCUCCAAGGCUAAAUACUCCUGACUGACCGAUAGUGAACCAGUACCGUGAGGGAAAGGCGAAAAGAACCCCGGCGAGGGGAGUGAAAAAGAACCUGAAACCGUGUACGUACAAGCA